UUUUAGACAAUGGAUAUUAUUAGCACUAUAAGCAAAUGAAAUAUUAAGCCAUGAAAAAUAAAGGAACCUUAAAUAUAUAUUGGUAAGUGAAAGGAGCAAUCUGUGUUCUUUUUUGUUGUUUGUUUGCAGGGAUUGAACUCAUGACCUCACACUUGCCAGGCAGGCACUUAUGCCACUGAGCUUAAUCCCCAGCCCAAAAGGAUUAGUCUGAAAAGGCUAAGUACUGUAUGGUUCCAACUACUUUACAUGAAAUUCUGGGUGAGCAAAGUUAUAGAAGCAUGGGAGUGCAAGUGGUUGCUAUCAAUUGGGCUUAAUAAGUGAAUAAAAAGAACUCAGGAUUUAUAGGGCAGUACAAAUAUCAUGUAUGAUAGUGCAGUGAUUACAGUGCAUUAUGUUGGUCCACAUCCUUAGAUAAUAAGGAGCAAAUCCCAAUGAAAUUGGGGCCUUUGAGUAAUGACAUUGCAUUCUCCAGGGGACCUCAUUUACAAUAGAUCAGUCACUCUGCUGGAGCUACUUAAUGUUUGUCAACAAACUUAAGGUGGUUUGAUAUUCCAAAUUAAUGAGGCUUCUAGAAUUUACUUUAAGCUAUUCUAUUGUCAUGACAAACCUGUUUAAAUACAUUCUGUCCUCAGUAAUGGAAGAGAAAGGAGAUUAAACAGGGAGAAUGGAAUUGAAAUUAGUGAUAGCAAGUCUCUUGGGAGAUGUUGCUUCCGAAAUAAAAUAAAUUUUAUUGUAUUUUGCCACAGACAGAUGAUUUUUUUGUUCUUAGAGGAUUAUUAGUCUCUGUUGCUUAAAAUAAAGCUUUUCCCCUGAGUGUUUUCAGUUCUUUCCUUAGAAAAAAUAAAUUACUUUGUAAGAAUAUUCUCAUAGUAACAUUUCAAAUUGUUAAUUGGAAAUAAGAAAAUUGUGUAUGUAACUUUUUGUUUUUAACAAGCCACUGUGAUUACAUGGUUUGCAACUGGGUUCUGGUCUCCCUUACAUUUAGGAAAUUUGAACAAUGCUGGGCAGCUUGUUACAUAUUGUAUUUUUAUUUAGUGAAAUGUUUUUGUUCUGAGAUGAUCACAGAAAUAUAUAUAUACCACAGAAAGGCCCUGUGCACCUUUUACCCAGUUUCCACCUGCAGUAGCAUCCCACAGAAUAAUAUCCUGUAGUAUCACAGCCAGGAGUUUAGUACUGCGAUCAGAUGUCUCCAUUUUAUCCCUGCAUCAGGAUACAUCACCACCAGUGCCACAACCACCUGCCGUUACACUGUAUGUCUCUAUAAAGGGCAAGUUGUCGCCUGUCUCACUUUAUGCUUGGACCAUGACAGUCAGUAACUGCAUCUCCUGCAUUUCUGUAAUUUCAUGGUUUCAGAAAUGCCAUAUAAAUGGCACCAUUGUCUAUGUAACUCUAUGGGAUGUACUCUUUUUAUAUGUUUUCACACGAUAUAACUCACCUGUUGUAUAUCUAAAUAAUAUCAAUUGUCUGUUCAUUUUACGUGAUAUUUCAUGUUAUAGAUAUACCACAGAUGCUGUAAUCAUUACCCUUUGAAGACUACCUAAGCCCUCAGUUUAGACUAUGGUCAACUGCCAUGCACAGGGGUUUUAUGUGAUCACUUUCCUAAAAUAAAUGUCCAAAAUGCAAUAUCUUAGGUAUAUGAUGUCUCACAUAUAUGUGGCAUAUUUAAAAUAAAUAACUAAAUCUUGGAUAUAAUCCACAUGUCCACCACUAGAGGAAUGGAUAAAUAAAAUGUGGCAUUUAUAUGCAAUGGAUUAUACUACCCUGUCAUAAGGAAAAGUAAAAUUGAGAUAUUAUAGGAAAAUAAGAUAUAUAUAGGAAGACCAGAAUGUUAAGGGAAACGAAUCAGACCUAUGAGCUUAAAUGACAUAUAGUUUCUUUUAUACAAGAACAUCAAAGCACAAAUAAAGAACAAAAAAGAUGAAUAUAAGAAGUAUGGAGAAAGAUCUUUUGCAAAUGGGAAAGAGACCAAGAGGUGGAGGAAGAGGGAGGGAAGGAAGGAGAGAGAUGAAAAUAGAAUUCAGAUGUGUUCUGUGUAUGUAUCAGUUCCCCAUGAGGAAUGUAAUCAUUUUGUACUACUGCAGACAUGCACUGCACUGGUGAGAACAAAAAUUAACAACAACAACAACAACAACAAAAAAAAAUAGAGACAACAACCCUGGGCUUUAACUCACUGAUGUAUUUACUAAAUAAGUAUUGCAUGUUUUUAAGUAAAAGGUCUGUUAUCUCUUCUAUCAUAUUAGCUUCUUAGACUACAAGAAAAAGAUAAUCUCUCAGUGAACUUUGAAAAACAUUUUGGCCAUCAUCUAAUAAAAUUAAACACAGAUUUUAAAUCUCAACAUUUACUGCCCAAAGAAUUUACCUAAACAGAAUGAGUGUACCUGCUCAUGAAACGACACAUGCUGUAAUGUCUCUAGCCUCAGUUUUCAGACACCUAAGACAAAAACAAAACAUAAAACCCUUGAAAACUACUCAGAUUCCCAUUGAGUGUAAAUUCAAUAAAUAAUUUAUGUCCUGCCCAAGAAUGCAAAAUUACACACAAUGAGAAUCAAUGACAUUUAUUAUAAAUCAUUAAGGGUGUAUUUCCUAAAUGCAAUUUUGAAUGCAAGAAGCCAGACACAAAUAUAUACCCUCUAUAGGAUAUUUAUAUAAAAUACAAAAGCACAAAAGUAAAUUGUGUUAUUACAAAUUAUGAGAAUAUUAUUUCAUGUAAGAUACUGAGAGUACCAGAGAGGAUUUCCCUUUUAAUUUGUUGUGAUUCUCAUAAUUUUUCCAAGAGUAAUACCUGGUUGGUUUAUAUUAUUUUGUUUGUUUAUUGUUUCUUUGUUUGUUGUGGUUGUCGGGAUUGAACCUGGGAACUAAGUCCCUCUAACACUCAGCUACAAGCCAGGCCAAAAUGCAACAGAGGACAAUGAUGCAGUUUUGUGGAUCAGGAGGUGGGCGUAACCCAGCUGGAUCUUGCUCCUCUUUCUCUCUUUCAGGAGGAUGUAAUCAUCUCACCAUUUGGCUCUAAAGAUUCAUUCUAAGUUAGCACAUGUGAUUCUGGGCAGGACUCAGUUAAUUGAGAGUUAUUGGUCCUAGAAUGUCAAUUGUUUGCUGACUGCUGCUGGACGGCUAACUUCAGUUUCUUGCCUCCUGGAUUCCACCAACAAAACAUGCAGAAUCACAUCCAACAGAAGAGGGGGCUGUGGUAGCAAAAUGGAAGUCAUGAAUUUUGAGAUCUCAUCAAGAAAUUGACACUCUGAAAUUUUGCCAAUAGCUGUUGGAUACAAGCUAAUUACUCAAAGACAAGCGAUAGUUACCCAAAUAAUCAUCAAUCCUAGGUGGAGGUGGCUGUGAAGAAAGAGAGUGACAACAGAGCGAGUACACAUCCAUCUUCCAACCAAGAAGAAAACUAUCCCGUGCAUUAUGAUAUUCUAGCCACAGGACAAUUCAAGAUUCUGGAAAUGUUAGAUUCUUAAGAACUGUAAGAGUCUGCACAUGAGAAAGGGGUUAUGGAGGAAAGGGGACACAAAACAACUCAGAUGUACCAAGCACCAAAUAUGUGAAAGUAGUCAUUGAAUAUCACAAACAUGUACAGAAAUAAGUAAUUAAACAACCAUAAGAAAACAAGCAGUUUAAGCCACUGACUGUGUAUUUAGUCCCGGUUGCUUGGGCACACUAAUACAGAUGUUACAAACGCCAUAUUGCUGAUCUUGUCUUUGUUUAAUCAGUGCUGUUUUCUAUUACGGAUGCGGUUAGUUACGUGUGGUUUAGCGUGACUCUCUCCAGACUGCUAAUGCUUUAUUAAAUUGGUCUAAAAUACCCUACACUGAACAGACAGUUCGGUCUGGUUAGAAGGCCUGUUCCUUCGGGGGAUUCCUCUAAUUGUGGCCUUGAUUGCUGACUGGUUGGAACUCUUCUCUCCUAUACAAGUUUCAGGAAUUGCUGAGCUUGUAAAUCUCCUGACUGAUUUUACACAAACGAGUGGAAUUUCACCCCUGCCAUGUGCUGCAAAUGCAGGAGCCCGUGUGCAAACCUGGAUGUCUUUUUCUGCGUAGUUUCUUCUUCUUCAUCAUUUUUCUUCUCAAUAUCCAACCACUUGACAUCUCAAACUCUGACCCCUGUCUCUUCAUGUUAGGAAGUCUGCUGAAUUACGGUUGAAGUUUUCCCCAGUGACCCUCUGUAUGGAAAUUGCUGCUGAGUACACAGCUCUGGUAAUCACAACCCUCAUUUCACUAGUUUCCCUCCUUCUGGGCUCGUACUGCUGUGCUUCUCGGUGUGCAGUUUCCAAAACAGUGAUUUUAUCCAUGUUGUGCUCUUUGGUAUUUGUUAAGGUUGGAAGUUCAUACCCCUCUGCAGAUCUGGAGCAUUAGACUGAGCAUCAUUAGCGUGUAUCAUUAUGCUACAUGCAUGUCUGGUAGACAUCUCCCCAUAUGCCAGGCUUUGCUUUUUUUUUGUUUAAAGUAGCCAGAAAAAAAAGUCUUUCACAGGAAACUUCAAGGAAAUGAAGUGGCAGGGUAUGAGCACUUCAUCCACCCAAAGGCGGAGGUUUGGGAUUACAAGAGGUGUGAGGGCCUCUGCUCUCAGCACCCCACGUGGCAGAGGGGUGCACAGUGAGCCUGCUGAGGACUGAAGAAGAGGAGGCUGCAGAAAGCGAGGUGAGAUCUGAGGACCCAGAACUCGGUUCUUGCUCCUGUAAGCUGAGCACUCAAUGCAGGCUUGAGUGGAGCCUCACAUGUUCUGACUUAUAUUUCUAAAAGAACCACUCAGGCAGACUCUGUAAACAUAAAAGGUGGAAAAUAAUGUUAUUAUUGAUAAAUUAAAAUGUUCUCAAUGUGCAACAUACUUGCUAUUUGACAAGCAAUAGUCUAAGUACUUUACGUUGUCUAUUAAUUCAUAUACUAUGUAAUUUAAUCAUAUAAGUCAUACAAUUAUAUAUUCCUAAUUAAAUUAUAAUGUGCAAGCAUUGCCCCUAUUUUAAAGGUGAGGAGAGAUAUAAGGAGACUUUAAAAUUUCUUUAAGGUUUCACACAAGAAGUAAGUAACAGGCAACAUGCUCAUAAGCCCUGCUGUUUCAUAUGAAACUUGGUCCUCUACUUUCAGUACAUUAAAGAGUAACGAAGCUGUAAAGAACCAAAAACAAAAGGUAGUCUUUUUGCUUUGUGCCCCUUGUAACCACUAAUUUUAUUUUAUUUCUUUCUGGACUAGAAUAAGCCAUAAACUAAAGAGGUGUAAUAAUUUCUGAAAGUGGCUUACAAAAUUAUAUAGAAACUUUAAAAUUCCAAGAGAACUGGAGAUAAGAAUGAUUUUAUAACAAGGAGUUGAAUUAGAACAAUAUGAAAUUAUGAAUCAAUCGCUACUGCUACUAUUUUAAAAAUGUAUCUUAUAUUUUAAUAAAAACUUCAGAAAACAUGACAAUUAAAAGAAAAAUAUUUCUCUUGAAAAAUGCUAUAACUCUUAGAAUGCAUUGAGGCCAAGAAUACCUGAGUGAGUUUAUUGCCUUUGGAAUUCAAUAUUGUUAUCAUUUUAUUCCAUUUCUGUGAAAAGACAAUUUUGUAUUGAAAGAUAUGUCAUGGCUCUCAGAAUCAGAAAGCCAUUUUUAUUCCUUUAAAAACUCUAUAGUGGAAUCAAUGAUCUAGUUUGUAUUUACAAGUAGGUAACCAAAAA